rnacentral:misc_RNA from 1 species
GAAAUGCGACAAGUAAUGUGAAUUGCAGAAUUCAGUGAAUCAUCGAAUCUUUGAACGCACCUUGCGCUCCUUGGUAUUCCUUGGAGCAUGCCUGUUUGAGUAUCAUGAAAUCUUCAAAGUAAAUCUUUUGUUAACUCAAUUGGUUUCUACUUUGGUAUUGGAGGUCUUUGCAGCUUCACACCUGCUCCUCUUUGUUCAUUAGCUGGAUCUCAGUGUUAUGCUUGGUUCCACUCAGCGUGAUAAGUUAUCUAUCGCUGAGGACACUGUAAAAGGUGGCCAAGGUAAAUGCAGAUGAACCGCUUCUAAUAGUCCAUUGACUUGGACAAUACUUUUAUGAUCUGAUCUCACAUCAGGUAGGACUACCCGCUGAACUUAAGC